rnacentral:tRNA from 1 species
GCCUUCGUGGUGUAGUGGUCUGCAUGCUCGACUCAUAACCGAGAGGUACGUGGUUCGAUUCCCGGCGAAGGCG